AAACAGACAAAACCUGAUUUCUGUGCGCAGCGUUUGACCGUUCGUCUUAUUUGAAAAAAAUAUGAAAAAAUUAAAAAGACAAGUCACGCAUGAAAUAUUAAUCAUGUUUUAUCAUCUAGCAACAAUGAAAAUACGAAUUAUAAAAAAAUUUCAUAUAAGACGAACAGUCAAAGUUAGCACGGAAACCCAGGGUUUACAUUUUU
rfam:Oryza sativa (indica cultivar-group) chromosome 1, whole genome shotgun sequence.